CCAGCAACACCACCAGGACCAGUACUGGUGCUGGCACUAACACGAGCACUUCAACAACAACAGCCAUCAAUGACGCCAUCAGCAGCACAACCAGCAACGAUGCCUGCAACAGCACCACCACCUUACACCCACCCCAAUACAUCAACAAGCACGAGAGCCAAUUACAACAUCUACACCAACAAGAAGAUCACCAUCACUGUACUCAACCUGUCUCACCGAUGUUCGCCAUUUCUGGUAGCGCUUGAGACACAGUCAGAUGUUGAAUGCACUUGGCGAUCUCUGUGACGAGGAUGACUGGCUGAUGUUUGACCAGUUAACAGCUCCAUCAGGGUCACUCCCAAACUGUAGACGUCCAUCUCUUUGCUUUUACUUCAUGAUCUCUCGUCCAUUCAUUAAGGAGCCAUGUACUCUGGACUGAGUGAUCCAACCAGCUGACAGUGGGACAUCGAUGAAUCUCGCUGCCCCUAAAUUGCCCAGCUUGGCCGACAUGAGGCGAGUUACGAGAAUGUUGGCCAGACAGAUGUCGCCGUGGAGAACGAGACGUGGCUUCAAAGUCCAGCAGAACCGAUUGGACCAACCAGAUGUGACCAAAUUCAUGGAGAUCGUAGAGAAUGUGAAGCACAGGGAGAUGGGAGAGCAGCAGGAGUGUCCAUAACAUACACGUGGUGAGCAUGGACAACUCAGACCCCUCCGUCUACCGGAAAGAGUCAUGCAUCUGCUGCAUAUGUUGUUCCUGUACGAUCAACACACGACAAGCAUGACCCUGCAACCUAUUAAAGGGAUACAGACAGAACACAUGAAAAAGCUAACUUGGUGAAUAUGUGCACAUGAAAAUGAUGUCUGGGUAUGCCAGGCCUGUGCUCGAGUUUGUGUUGCAGUCAGUUUGUGAUAAUAGUGCAAAUACUGAUUAGAUAGAUUAGAGUAUAACAAUUAUUGCUGUACUUGUGUUGUGAUAUAUACCAAUGACUGACAAGGA